rnacentral:rRNA from 1 species
UACAGAGGGGGCAAGCGUUGUUCGGAAUUACUGGGCGUAAAGGGCGCGUAGGCGCCUUCUAAGUCGAACGUGAAAUCCCCGGGCUCAACCCGGGAACUGCGUCCGAUACUGGAAGGCUUGAAUCCGGGAGAGGGAUGCGGAAUUCCAGGUGUAGCGGUGAAAUGCGCAGAUAUCAGGAGGAACACCAAUAGCGAAGGCAGCUCGCUGG